rnacentral:rRNA from 1 species
CCUACGGGUGGCAGCAGUGAGGAAUAUUGGUCAAUGGGCGAGAGCCUGAACCAGCCAAGUCGCGUGAAGGAUGAAGGAUCUAUGAUUUGUAAACUUCUUUUGUAUGGGAAUAAAGUGAGGAACGUGUUCCUUUUUGUAUGUACCAUAUGAAUAAGCAUCGGCUAACUCCGUGCCAGCACCCGCGGUAAUACGGGGGAUGCGAGCGUUAUGCGGAUUGAUUGGGUUUAAAGGGUGCGUAGGCGUACUGUUAAGUCAGCGGUAAGACACCGGGGCUCAACCCCGGCGAGCCGUUGAAACUGGCUGUCUUGAGAUGUCGAGAGGUAUGCGGAAUGCGCAGUGUAGCGGUGAAAUGCUUAGAUAUUGCGCAGAACUCCGAUUGCGAAGGCAGCAUACCGGCGGCGAUCUGACGCUGAGGCACGAAAGCGUGGGUAUCGAACAGGAUUAGAUACCCCAGUAGUC